UUCCAAAUUCAGAAAUAUUAUCAAAAUCGGAGCUAAAUUCAACUGCCGAACUUUUGGCUUAAUUUUCUAUAAAAAUGUGUUCUUAAUUUUUGCAAGUUUAAAGGAUAAGGACAAAUGUUGUCAUGGUUUGCUCGUUAGAUAAAGAAGAAUAACAGAAAUUCGCUGGAAUUAUGGACCAUCGUUAACAAAUAGAUGUCAAUUUGUUUUUGGAGCAAGGUCCGAGGAUGUAGAGAUCCUUGUGUUUGCUCAUACACUUGAAUCGCGAACUCUGAACGUUGGUAUAUCGGAAUCGCUAUAUUAUAUUAGGCAUUGAGGCUGCCAUUAAUUUAUUUUCAUUUUAUGCUUCGACCCUGACAGGUCUGCUGUAUAUUCAACAUGACACAAAAUACCAAAAUGAAGCAUUUUUGAACGGGGUGCAAGGUCCGAGGAUAUCAUAUCCUUGUGUU
rnacentral:sRNA from 1 species